UACGAAGGGGGCUAGCGUUGCUCGGAAUCACUGGGCGUAAAGCGCACGUAGGCGGUUUCUUAAGUCAGGGGUGAAAUCCUGGAGCUCAACUCCAGAACUGCCUUUGAUACUGGGAGACUUGGAGUCCGGGAGAGGUGAGUGGAACUGCGAGUGUAGAGGUGAAAUUCGUAGAUAUUCGCAAGAACACCAGUGGCGAAGGCGGCUCACUGGCCCGGUACUGACGCUGAGGAGCGAAAGCGUGGGGAGCGAACAGG
rnacentral:rRNA from 1 species